CCCUCUUACAUUUUGAUAUAAAAGCUUGUGCUUUUUCCGACGUCUCACUAGUAGCCCGAGACGUAGGACCUUCGAAAUUCGCAAAAGUUUCACAUGUGUUCACUAAAACACAAUCCUUGUCGGGAGUUGCAGUUCUGAUGUAUCGUGAUCAAAUAAUUUGGUUUUUGAUUGUGGUGAUUGGGUUAUGUGAUAGCCUUGAACUCAAUAUCUCGGGAUGUGCUGAAGGCUGUAAAGAUCAG